CCUACGGGGGGCUGCAGUCGAGAAUCAUUCACAAUGGGGGAAACCCUGAUGGUGCGACGCCGCGUGGGGGAAUGAAGGUCUUCGGAUUGUAAACCCCUGUCAUGUGGGAGCAAAUUAAAAAGAUAGUACCACAAGAGGAAGAGACGGCUAACUCUGUGCCAGCAGCCGCGGUAAUACAGAGGUCUCAAGCGUUGUUCGGAAUCACUGGGCGUAAAGCGUGCGUAGGCUGUUUCGUAAGUCGUGUGUGAAAGGGGCGGGCUCAACCCGCGGACGGCACAUGAUACUGCGAGACUAGAGUAAUGGAGGGGGAACCGGAAUGCUCGGUGUAGCAGUGAAAUGCGUAGAUAUCGAGAGGAACACUCGUGGUGAAGGCGGGUUCCUGGACAUUAACUGACGCUGAGGCACGAAGGCCAGGGGAGCGAAAGGGAUUAGAUACCCGAGUAGUC
rnacentral:rRNA from 1 species